GCUACAGAAAUUUAAAACAAGAGCCUAUUAAUCAAUAAAGCUAUCUUCAACUUUUGAAGCAAAAUUAUCCCAGGUGCACUCUCUCCUUUUAUUUUCUUUGCUUUCCUACUCCAUUGAGGACAAUGUAGAUUAAGUUGGGGGGGAAGGAAAUUAAUCAAAUCCUCGAGUAUGGUCAGAAAUAAUUAGUUUUGUAUAUCCAAAUUUGGACUUGCUUAAUAGUCAAUUAGGCAUCCUAAUCAAUAAAUGAUUAACGGUUAAGAGAAUUUUAGAGAUACUGAGGAAUAAAUUAUUAAGAAAACCCAAUGAAUGGU
rnacentral:lncRNA from 1 species